AGCUUUGCUCAGUGGCAGUAUCGUAGCCAAUGAGGUUUAUCCAAGGCAUGAUUAUUGCUAAUUAAAAAUUUUUCCAAGAUUUCCACAUAAAGUUAAAGAUCAGCCACCGAAAUAAGAACCUUAAAUUUUAGUUCUAAAGUAAUAUAAUCCAUCUUUACAAAAAA
rnacentral:snRNA from 1 species